AUCAACUUUCGAUGGUAGGAUAGAGGCCUACCAUGGUAGUAACGGGUAACGGGGUGUUAGGGCACGACACCGGAGAGGGAGCCUGAGAAACGGCUACCACAUCCAAGGAUGGCAGCAGGCGCGCAAAUUACCCAAUCCCGAUACGGGGAGGUAGUGACAAUAAAUAACAAUACGGGGUUCUUAUGGAUCUCGUAAUUGGAAUGAGUACAAUUUAAAUCUCUUAACGAGGAACAAUUGGAGGGCAAGUCUGGUGCCAGCAGCCGCGGUAAUUCCAGCUCCAAUAGCGUAUAUUAAAGUUGUUGCAGUUAAAAAGCUCGUAGUUGAAUUUCGGGAUCAAUUUAUCGGUCGUACCAAUGGUAUGAACUGGUACAAUUGGUUUCUCCCUUCUGACGAAGCAUGAUGUCAUUAAUUUGGUGUCGUGGGGAAUCAGGACUGUUACUUUGAAAAAAUUAGAGUGUUUGAAGCAAGCAUUAGCUUGAAUACAUUAGCAUGGAAUAAUGAAAUAGGACGUUUGAUCCUAUUUCGUUGGUUUCUAGGAUCGACGUAAUGAUUAAUAGGGAUAGUUGGGGGCAUUAGUAUUCAAUUGUCAGAGGUGAAAUUCUUGGAUUUAUUGAAGACUAACUACUGCGAAAGCAUUUGCCAAGGAUGUUUUCAUUAAUCAAGAACGAAAGUUAGGGGAUCGAAGACGAUCAGAUACCGUCGUAGUCUUAACCAUAAACUAUGCCGACUAGGGAUCGGAUGAUGUUAAUUUUUUAAUGACUCAUUCGGCGCCUUACGGGAAACCAAAGUGUUUGGGUUC
rnacentral:rRNA from 1 species